UACGUAGGUGGCAAGCGUUGUCCGGAAUUAUUGGGCGUAAAGCGCGCGCAGGCGGUCCUUUAAGUCUGAUGUGAAAGCCCACGGCUCAACCGUGGAGGGUCAUUGGAAACUGGGGGACUUGAGUGCAGAAGAGAAGAGUGGAAUUCCACGUGUAGCGGUGAAAUGCGUAGAGAUGUGGAGGAACACCAGUGGCGAAGGCGACUCUGUGGUCUGUAACUGACGCUGAGGCGCGAAAGCGUGGGGAGCAAACAGG
rnacentral:rRNA from 1 species